GGGGCUGUGGUCUAAGGGUAUGACGAGUCUUUAGCACGCUGCUAGUGUUAUAGAAUAGACUAGGUUCGGGGUUCGAGUCCCCGCAGCUCCA